ensembl:lncRNA
CCAAGCCAGCACUGUUUAAGGUCCACACAGGCCAGCAACGAUGUGGGCCUUACCUGCUUCUCCAGCUGCAUCUGGAACCAGGCAUCCCCUGAGCUUGAACCCCAGCUACACAGAGCUACUUGCAUUUUUUAACACCUCCUCACUGCCUCAUGGAUCCGUGGAUCCUGUCCAUUUAAUCGCCCACUGCACGUCCACCGCCCACUGCAGUGGACUCAGCAGUGAAUGAGACAGACGCAAUCCCCACCCUCACUGCCUUUCUUCCCGAGACCGUCCUUCUCCCAGGGGCUCCUUUACCCCACCCAGGCUCGCCUCCGGGAACUCCCCGCGAGCCCUCAGCUGACUCGCUCCCUCUCAGCUCCGAGCCAGCGCUGCAGGGAGGGCAGCGGGGAGCCCUGUUGGGGGAGCCGGUGGGGCUCGGCCUGGCUCUCGCUGGGAGACUUCAGCGAGUCCUGGAACCUUUAACUGCAACUCCCUCGCGGCAGGUUUGCUUUGGCUUGUUGUGGUUUCUCUCUUUUGCCGCUCACUUCUAUCAACACCCUUAUUUCUUGGGAGGCACUUUGCAAGAGACCCGAAGGCAGACAAGCGCCCUGACUCCACGAGCUUACAGCCUGAGCGCGGAGACCCCUCACAGGGGACAGCUCUUCAAAGCAGCAAAAAUCCAUUAUAACGGAGGUAGGAACAAGGUGCUAUGGAGCAGAGGGAGGAGAAAAUGGAGUCUGUCUGGGGAGGUCUCGAGGCUUUGGAAAAGCGGGAAUAUUUGAGUUGGGUCUUGAAGAUGUGACUGUGGGGAGCGUUCCUGUAGGCAGGCGGAGGGCAGGCGCGUCAGCAAGGCAUGUUAGCAGCCCAAGUAGGGUGAACAGGUGUUCACACGGGUGGAGGGCAUAGUGGAGGGAAGAUGGAGAUGACAGGCUGGGGUCGUAUGGAGGAGCACCUCGCAGGCGGCGCCGAGGCUCUGAAGACCGUCAGCAGGGGAGUGGCGUGAUUAACCCUGUGCUUGACACAGGGCCAGCCAGGAGGCCGGAGAGAGUGAGGGACCAUGGCAAUAGUCCAGGCCAGGAGAGCUAAUGAGGUCGCCACUAGGGCAGUGUCUGUGGCAAGGAGAGCUGAACGUGUUGCGAGUUCUGCAAAAGCUGAGACCCACUGUGCAGAAAGGGAGAGCCAUCGUGGAGCCGCCCAGCAAACGCUCGAAGACGCGAUCGUGCUCCCCACACUGCGGACUGUUGAGUGGCGUGGUUUCCUCGUCAGACCCAUUGCUCACACGUUUAGUAAUACCAUGGGCCAGGGCGUGUGUGUGAAAACGGCAUGCACAUGCCCAAGGCCAGUGGGGACAAGAGAGGACAAACUUGCCUGCCCUGGGGUUCUCUUCUCUUCUCUUCUUCACGGGGCUGGAGGCUCAUUUGCUGGGUCCCAUGGAGGAAGGACACCAGACAUCCGCCUUCUGUCUACACCCCACAGAAACCCAGACAGAGCAACCUAUGCUUCGGUCAUGAAAGAGGGGAGAACUUUACUUCUUCCGUGAUUAAAUUAGAUGCAAAAGAUAUGAUUAAUUAUCAGUUGGAGAUUCAUUUUCCCUCUCUCCGAAGAGAUUGCCUUCUGGGAAGUAUGGAAUUAUCCUGGCACUAAGGCAGCUCUGAGAACCCAAGAGCGGGAGAGUUGCAGAGCAGACGCCACAGCAGCUCCUGGCUGUAUGCCCCACAGGCCGCCUGGCAAGCUGGGGUUCUGGCCGAGCCUUGGUGGGCCUCGGCUCCUGUAAUGAAUUCAGUUAGAAGCUCUCGUAGUAAAACUGGCCUCUCUUUUCCAAGGGGAGCAACAGGCUUCGUGUAUGACUCUAUUUGUCCCCAGUUGCUGAAAAUACUCACUACUGCUCCUCAUGUGUAAGACAAGGGUUAGGCUGCCUCAGCAGGGUUCAGCUGCAGAGAACAAAUCCACUGUAGCUUAGUUUUAGCAGGAAGAGAUUUAUUACAAGAUUUUCAGCAGCUUGCAGCAUGAUGUAAGAGGUGAGGAAACACACUCGAGGUUCAGCAAUGACUCCUAAAGCCACACCUCAGAGCUGGGCCACCGAGGAAGCUGCGGCCUCUCCUCCGACUUGGAAGCUUCCGUGGUGGCCUGGAUCUGACCUCUUUUCUGCCUCCAUCAGCCCUGAGACCAUAACUUCUCUCCUGGUUCCGUACCUGAACCACACUGUUGCAGUCCGCUGCAGUAAACAGAUGCCCUAGAGCCCACGUAGUCACUCUCUCCCAGCCACUGGUUAGUCUUGGGCCCUCUGCCGAACAGACACCCCCCACAACUGUGCCUGCCAGAGCAGCCAGGCGGAGCCCACACCUCGCUUAGGUUCCAGAGCCCACCCACGGGUGUCAAUCAGCUGAAUAGAAACUAGACUCAGGUCCCUAACUGCAACGAGGCUGCAAAUGGAAAAUCUCACAUUCAGGUUCCGCAGUGCUGGCAGGACAGUGCCGCACACCAGGCCGUGUCCCCACACAGUCCACCGUGAGAUGGGGAGAGAAUAAGACGCUCAGACCUGUUCCCAGACUUAAGAACCAAGGACGUCCUGUCUCGCCAUGAUUCCUUCCCCAGCAUUUGGUCUGGACAAUCUGGUCCUCUCUCCAUCUCACGCAGGGUGUGUAAUGGGACAUCUGUCUUCUGUCCUAUCAGGCACCCGGCUGCGUUCCCUCCCACUUCCUCUACUCAUGAAAGUCUUGCCCAGCCUUCAAAACACAGUUCAGGUCUUCAGUGAAGGCUUCAGCUGCUCUGUCCUCGUGCAGUCUCUCUCCCUGGGCACUGUCCCUUAUGGUCUCCUCCAAGCCACUUAGCAUGUAUGUAACCUCGUGUGUCAGGCUGUUGAUCACCGGGAAAGUGCUUUCUGAAUAAUGAUCCUGACUCUCCAAUUAGAUGGAGAGCUCCUGUGGGAAGAGCUGGGACCAGGUCGCCUGCUCUUCUUAUAUUCCUAACAGUUUCAUAGCUCAGUGCUGAAAGCAGAAAAGCCAUUCAAUUCCUAGGCUCAGAAAAGUCUAUUUCCUACAUCAUAGGAGGGGAUGAUGAUGGCAGCCCUGCUUCCCUGUGUGUGUGUGUGUGGUUGGACUCAAGAUCAAAAAGGUUAAUGUACAGAAAAGGCACUGUGGUCUUUCCUGUUACUGCUACUGAACAGAAUCUGCUCUUAUUACCAAAUCACACUGCAAAUGAGCCUAAGAACGUGGCCGACAAAGCUCGGGUCUUGGGUCUUCCCUUCAGGGCUCCUCUGCCCUGUGGAGACACAACCAGUCUGCCCGUCUCAGGUAAGUAGCUAAAGUGAAGCAUGAAAACGGAAGACAGAAGAUGAGGUACCUAACAUGUGGUUUGGGCUUACUGCAGGAAUUAAUUAUAGUCGGCUCAAACGCAAACUUCUCACUUCCACCCUUCUCCAAAACAAACAGAGUUGGGUAAGCAGGCCAUCCCUGAAGACUUUGAAGCUAAGUUCUCCCCGUCUGAGGAGGGUUGCACGGCAGCCACAAAGGUGGUUAGUCUUGGUGGAAAUGGUCCUGACUGCUCACAAAAGCCAAAGGACCCUAUGGGCUUUGGUCCUCUCAGUUACUCUCCAGGCUAGUUGCAUAUAUAGUUCAGCCAUAUGUGAGGGGGGUGAAUGGUGGCUUCAAGCAAGAGAGAAAAGAAAACAUUAGGAGGUAUUCAAUAUUUCCCCUAGAUCACUCUCCUCACUCCUGAGAAAAGAAAAAGAAGACAAACUGAGUUUUGAUGAGUUUUGUGUCUCUAUCUCCAACAUAAACCCAAAUUCACUCAAAAUCUUUUAAAUCUGCUCUGCAUUUUCAACGGAAAAUAUUUUCCCCAGAGAAGUUGAUGCGAAGUUGCUUAAGAAAGUACGACUGAAAUACACAGAAUGAAAGUUCACGGUUAACGUUGAGAGCAUGUCGGGUAAGACAACUGAGAUGACAUUGCAUCUCAGUCGGGGUUCUCACUGCUGACAAGUCAGGUACCCCAACCACAAGCCCUUUUUCCAUUUCUCUCAUCACUGAUUUACAUUUAGGAGGACAAAAUUGUGACUCCUCAUGAAUUUGAGCUAGAACAGCCAAGCUUUCUUAAAUCUUUCUAUUAAUUGGUCAUUCCUGACUUUUCUAUGCAAAUUCUUAUUUGUAGUAAAUAGCAUCACGGUUUUUCCCACCCCUUGUGUGAUUAAUUGCAGCAAAAUAUUAUGAACCACCAUAUCAGUGGCUCUGAGUAUCAAAAUGCGAAGGACAGGCAGUGACCAGAAAGCUAUUGUCAAUAAUGUUUGAACAGCUGUCCCAAGAAACAACUCUGGCUCAGGAGAUGACAUUUUUUUACAGAAAUGAUAAGGGAGGCUUCAUGGUCCACUCAGUUUUAGUGUUUGGGGUAGAAGAGUGAUCCUUGAGGCGACAUAGGUUUUGGUGGUAUAACAGCUGGAUCCGAAGUUAGCAAGAGGGAGGCCAUCUUAGAGAAAGAAGCAACAUUGUAACUCUGCCUCUGACUCACUGGUGUCUGUGGAUACAUUCUAGCCUGCACGUAGCACCGAUGAUUAAGCACCUCUUACUUUAACAAAAUACAUCAUCUGCUAGUCCUAUGACUCUUGCUUACUUAUAUUUCCUAACUGUGAUAAGACAAUAACUUUGUUCUCUGAGUUCCCCAGGAACAUGACGACCUCCAUAAAGAAAAUUCUGCUUUGGUGUCCAUCAAAAAUGACAGAAGAAAGAGGUAAUGUGGCGCCUUGAAGUUUAUCACACAGGAUGGUCAACAUCCCUAACCCCCCUCCCUCCCUGCCCGUUUCCCCGUAUAACUGCCUCAAGAUUCUGCAUGCUGGUUCUUUGGGACACGAGUCCACCAUCUUCCAGUUCUGCUGGCUAAUCGUAUAAACUUUCCUUUCUCCACCACCAGCUUGUUUGCAAUGGAUUGGCACUGGAUUGCCGCAAGCAGAACGAGCCCCUUUUUGCUCAGUUACAGUAGUUCUAAAAAAUAUUCCAUACCAAAAACUUUGGCCUGUGGAUGCUUAUAGAACUUUAAGACAUACAGCGCCCAGUGCAGGCAUUUGUGUACUAGAAAGGAUUACUACUGAGUCAUGAAACGGUCACACGGCAGUUUCAGCCUUCUCUACUGGCUUGAGAGUUUGGUAUGAAGGAGAAAGUUGAUAGCUUUCCGUUGAAGCGCAUUUUUACUUUUCAUCUGGGUCAUAUCCUUUUUUGCCUCCCCAACUCAACUCUCACCCCUAUAGGUAGUUUUUACACUUUUCAGUGUUGGUCCUUGCAAAGCAGUUGCAGAUAAGACACAAGGUUUAAGGCAUAGAUUUGGUAUAAAUCUUCAGCUGCCUUAAAGCAUGAAAGGAGUUGUUUCCCUGACCUGCACUUAUUGAACUAGAUGAUCCACAGCCCAGUGUUGAACAACUGAAGCCCUACUGACUUAUUUUAAAUGACAAGAUGUCAUGGAAAAAAUGGCCAAGAUUUCCUGAAUAGCAUAUCUUUUGUAGAAAGAGUAAUAUUUCCUAGAAGCGCUGAAGUUGCAUAGUUGACAAGCGUAGGAAAAAUGAAAUCUAAGCAUCAAUUAGUGCAAAAGAGAAGAGGAAAGACUCUUCUAGGAACUGUUAAGAAAAUGAUGAGAUUAGCCACAGACUGGGAGAAAAUAUUUUCAGUACACAUUAUCUUCCAAAGGACUUCUAUCCAAAAUACAUAAAAAAAAACUAUAAAUCCAUGAUAACAAGCAAUCCAUUAAAAAUAGAAUGAAUGACUUGAACAGAAUUUCACUUAAGAUAUAUGUAUCACCAAAAAGCACAAGAACAGAUCUUAACAUCAUCAUCAGAAACGUUGAAAUGAAAUCACAUUCAGGUAGCUUCACAUCCAUUAAAAUGGCUCAGAUUAAAAGACCAAUUAUGUGAAGUAUUGGCCAAGAUGUAGAGCAACUAAAGCUCUCAUAUACUGCUGGCAGAAAUAGCAACUGGUAUAAUCACAUCGGAAAACAGAUUGGCUAUUUCUUUCUUUCUUUUUUUUUUUUUUCUGCUUUAUAUCCCCAAAUCCCCCGGUACAUAGUUGUCUAUCUUAGUUGCAGGUCCUUCUAGUUGUGGCAUGUGGGACGCCGCCUCAGCAUGGCCUGAUGAGCGGUGCCAUGUCUGUGCCCAGGAUCUGAACUGGCGAAACCCUGGGCCGCCGCAGACUGGCUAUUUCUUAUAAAGUUACACACAAACUUACAAUAUGACUCAACAAUUCCUUUUUUAAAAAUAGAAAUAAAAACAUAUUUUCACAAAAAGACUUGCACACAAACAUUCAUAGAAGCUUUACUCAAAAAAAGCCAAAACAUAGCAGAAAAAAAAAGAAGUAUUUUUUGUUUUUGUUGAUGGACGAGCAGGUGUCCAUAUGGUGGAAACUUUAUCUACUGCUCAGCAAUAAAAGAAUGAACUCCUGACACACACAAAAGCAGGGAUGAUUCUCAAAACCAUUAUGCUGAGAGCAAAAGAAGCUCGACACAAAGAGCUCACACUGUUUGAAUGCAUUUACAGGAAGUUCCAGAACUGGCAGAACUAACCUGCAAUGACAGAAAUCUCAUGAGCGGCUGCCCGGGGCAGAAGGUUAGCCGGAGGAUCAACAGCGAAAGGCACGGGGAGCUUUCUGUGACAGGGGAAUGUUCUAUGUUUUGAUUGGGAUGUGGCUACAAGGGCACACAUUUGUCAAGACUCACCAAAGUGUGUACUUAAAACAUACGCAUUUUUCUGUGCGCAAAUUAUCCUUCCACAAAGUUGAGUAACAACAACAAAAAAGACUUCCUCAAAAUUAGUCUGUGAAACGGUCUAUCUCUUUCAAGUUAGCAGGUUCUCGUGUGGGCGUGACAGAAAUGAGUUCUGAGAUUUAGUAACUAUCAUGAAAAUCUUGAACAGCAGCCAUUUUUAUCUGGUUUUAAUGUACUCAUAUUGCAAGUCAGGAACUUAUUUUGAUUUUUCAACAGAUUCCAGAUUUAACUUUAGAAGCACUUUCAAGCAUGAUUUUAAAGUUUCCAUGUAGCACUGCUGUGCCUCUGAGGAACUGUUGAUUCUGUGUUAUGGGCAUUUUAAAAUGUUAAAAGGGUAUUCUAAAAAGGAAAAAAAGAAAAAUUCAGGACUUCACAUUCUAGAGUUUGUGUGCAUUGUCACUUUUGCCUCAAUUUACUUUGUAUUUUCAAAUUGAAACAAUGCCUUGAAAAUAUCUACAAAUGCCUGUUAACAGGCUGUCAUAAACAUGUUUUUUAAAAGAAAGAACUAAGAAUAUCAAUCAAAUCUCUUGAUCACGCCCUCGUCAAAUCAGACUCAGGCACAUCCUGCCAUCUGUGCUCCUUUCUUUUCCUGCCCUUUCAUCACUAAGCAAGAAGCUAGUCAAUCCAGAAAGGGUGUAACACGUUUUUGUAAAAAUUUCAUCUUAUUACUUCAUCAACCCUCACAAAUCACUCCCAAGAUAAAUAUGGCUAGGAAUUAUGGAAAAGUUAAUUAUGAAAAGGUAACCAUGGCAAGGAAAUUCUCAGGGGGCUUAAGGGACAAUUCUUAGGUGUCUGUGGCUGUGACUCAGCCUUGGUUAUAGAAGUACCUGCUUGGCUCCACGACAGAUGUGUCUGUGCACUGUGGACAGGGACCUCCCCUUUCCACUCUCUUCCAGCCACUGCCGUCUUACCAGGCAGCCCAUUGGACAAAUGGACCACGCACAUUCUGAUGGACAGAUAUGAGGCUCAAUAAAGUUAAUGUCAGUGACAAGAAAGAUAGAAUAGAAAUCAAAUGUCCGAGUCCAGAUGGCCGAGUUAAAACAGAAACAAUCCUAUUGUUUAUUUCCCAGUGAAAAAUUUACCCACAGUGUGGUAUGCCCAGCAUUCCUGGAUAUUGCUGGAGAUCUUCGGCAGUGUGUGCCAAGAUUUCUAAAAGUUCUAUUUGUG